UGUUGGAGAUGUAAAGAAAAUGUACAAAAGCAGCUUAUCCAUGUAAACAUAUAGCCCUCAGACUGCUGCCAAGGACAGCAAGAUCUAUUUUGAUCUGGUGAAUAAGUCUUGGACCCAUAUGGUAAGAGUUGCUUAGGGAAGCUAUAUGUUACAUGCUUUACUUCUUCUAAUUAAGUUUAAAUGCUACCUGAAAUUUGAUGCAAAGUAUACCACAAUUUGAUGAUUAAAACUUUGGUUUACUGACUAGUUAUGACAACCAGAAAGGGACUGCUGAGACUGGGGAAAAAGGGGAGGGAAUAGCAUUUAAUCAGAACAAACACUAGCAAGAAGCACAAAUUUAAUGAUUUUACAAAACCAAUUGUCCAGUAAUAGUGAUAUGUUAUUUCAAAAUUAAUUAAAGAAUGGGAGAAUGUUUAGACAUGUGACGUUAUCUUUUUCAAUGGUCUUUCUCAUUUGAUAUUGCAGGGAUUGGAUUUCACUGGGGCACAUGCCAUUUCCACUGUAAUUUGUAAACUAAUGUUUUGUUUCUUCAGAAGAUCUCUUCUAGAACAAUUGCCUGCCAUCAUUACAAAUCUGCCUCUUGUCCUUGUUUCCCAAUUGUUUGAUGGUAUUAACAGGAGCAAAAAGAAUAUUCAAGACACCUUCUUGAUACUUCCCUGUAAGAACUUGGAGUAGCUGCUAAGAGAAUGCCCUUGCAGCUGAGAGAAAAAUGUUUGCAUUCCACUCUGAAUGGCAGGAUGGGCUAUCCCACAGGUGUCAAUAGGAGCACCCAGGAGCUGCAAUGAGGGUGCCAGGCACUGUACAAAAGAAGGUACUACUCCAGAGCCCUAACCAAGGUCGUGAAUUGUGCUAUAGCAGAAAAUGUGAAUGCAAGGACUAUGGAAAUAUUGCAUACUGGAGACUUUCUGUAAAACUUGUGGAUCAUUGACACCAUUGCUGUAACUCUGUUUUAACCUCCUUCUUCACACCUGGAUUCUGAUACUAUCUCCCCAAAUUGGCUACAGGUUGCUGCUUCCCUGGGCCUUUGGAAGUGAUACUGUUAGAGGGACAUCAAGUUCUGUCACGUAGGCUCAUCUCUGAAAAUACAAUGAUAUUCUCAACUCCAAGAUUCCUUCUCAAUUCCAAGUCACCUCUUUGUGUGGUUUUAUACAUCAAAAAAUGAGGGCUCUGGUCACUUUGGUCACCACACACCCACAUGAAAAGUGUUAAUCUACAAAUAUGUUUCGCAGGAAUUUGACCCAUGUGCCUUGAGGUAAUGACUUGAACGUGGAUCCCUGCACCCCAAAAAUGAAAGUAAAGAGAAGACUUUGGCUCUGGAAGGCUCACAGCGUUUGAAGUAAAUCAUUCCUCAUGGCAGUAUCAAAAUCCAAAGACACAGGAAUUUUGAGGAUUUGUCUAUGGACUCAAUAGAAUCUAAAACCAAAUAUUUAGUAACGCUUCUUCUACGUGGAGGAAGAUGCAGUGAGUCUGCAGUGAUACAGAAGUCCAAGUGGGAUCUCUUCUGCUGCCCAAAGCCACAAGAGAGGAGACAUCUUCUGUGCAGACUGUUUGCAACCAGUUGCUGGUGGGAAGCAGAGAUUUACUGGAGGAAUUAAAGAGGCUUCAUUCCUCCCACCACCAGCAGCUGUUCAGCCCUGCAGCCUUCCUGCGUAGGGCAGACUGCACCAAUCCUUGGUAUGUAUGACUCAUUGGAAAGUAACAAAAUCUUGAGGCUAGAAGAGACCUCAGGAAGGAGAGCAGCUGAUAUGGAAGAGUUAGAGCAGCUCGUGUAAGAUCAGGAUUUAAGGAGCUGAAAGACACGUGCAGGGAAAGCAUCUGGGCAAGCUGUCCUGAGUGACAAAAUGACUGAGACUCCUGUCCACAUGGUCAACCACUUGCAUGGUCUAGAGCACUGCGUGGUGAUGGUCAGUUCCCAGAGUAAUGUGCAGGUAAUGCAUAUAAGCCAUAUGCAAGAAAUGGCAGCCUCUUGACUCAGUGGUCAACUAUGGAUUGACCGAGCAGUUCAGGAAAUACAUGGGCUCCGCUGGUUUUCCAGGGACUGAUUUUGUUUUCACUGCAUCCCAGUAGCUGAAGAUUCGAACUGGAAUUCAGAACUCUUUUUUCAUUCUUGAUAUUUAACAUAUCUAAAUUCAUAUAUUCUUGGAUUAUUCCCACACUGUUUUGAAUUGUAAGAGUCGUGUAUUUCCAUUUUUGUUAAGGUGAUGUGCAUUUGGGCAUCUGUCACGUCAUGCCUGGAAUGUGAUGAAAACAAGAGGUCCUGACUGCUCACUACUGAGGAGCUCCCAGGGCACUUCUCACAGGAGUAGGGGUGUUAACCCUGAUAUCCUGGUCAAAUUCCAACAAGGCUAAUUAUAUCCCACUUACCUAAAACUGUGCCAUACUUUCCCUGCUUGCUUCAAGGUCUUGCUAUGUGAAACAGGCUCUCUCUUGAUCUUUUUAAGUACUAUGGUUUUCUGCAUCAUAUGGGGAUGCAUUUAGGGGACAGCUAAAGUUAGUUCUCAGGUUGUUAAAUUUCUUGUCCCUCUCAGGAAUGAUAGACAUAAACUGCCAUUGUUAGUAAACUGGGUUCAAGGCAGAAAUAUUGCAGAGCCUGUGCUGCAAGUGUAGUUGAGGACAGACACUUGCAAGCAAUGCUAAUGUCCAUAGUAACAGUAUCCACCGAGUUCCUGAAUCCGGCCUUCUGCCUGAAGAUUAAAGGCAGGAUUAGUGUGUGUGGGGGCUGAACAUUGAACAAAACUGUAGAGGAAGAGUGGCACAGGUGACUGCUCACCGGAGGUGAGAUCAAGGCGUCCAAGGGGAAGACGGUGGGGGCUGUGCUUCUUUCUGAGUCUGCUUCAAGUGGACUACACUCUGUUGAAGUUGCCUGCGACAGCAAAGUCAUUCCAGAACUGUAUUCAUGUGAGUUUUCAUGAGGCUCUCAGGCCUACUUCCUUCAUAUAACAAAGAUAACUUUGAAGUUGCAAUAUUACAUCUUAUUUGUUUUUAAAGACAGUGUAGAUGUGGUGUGUAAUACUGUUGAAAUGGUUACAUGAUAAUCCCAGUGAGGCUUCCUGCUUCUUGUUUAGAACUAAAUAUUUCCAGAAGAAAAACAAAUCAUGUAAAUUUAUCUCUGCCUCUCUAUCUACUGCAAUCUCAUCUAUCUCAUUAUCUUUUUGGUACAAGCUGCCGUCAAAAUAUCUAUGAAAUGAACAGACAUUAUAGGUGUCUAGAAUUGCCCAAAGCAGACAUGAGUGGAUACCAUCUCUUAUCUCUCUGCCUGCAAAUCAAAUUUGCAUCUUUUUCUGCAAAGGCUCCUGCUAAUAUGUGAGUCAGCAAAGUCAUCUCCUUAUAGCUCACCUCGCAUGGCAGACCCCUACAUUCGCAGAUUUUCUUCUCCAUGAUACACCUGCAUGCAUAUGUACAUACACACAUACACACACACAUACAUGUGUUUACACACACAUUGUUCAGAUAGUUGUCAGCAUAGCGGUGCUGCUACCUAGAAGAAUUAUUUCAGAUUGCUUCAAAUUUUUAGUUGAAUAGAUGACAGCCAGAUAUGUUUUUGAUAAAAUAGAUGCAUAGGUGUUCAUAUAAGAAUAUGCACUUGAAGGUAUUCUUGUUUUUUGAAGAUAGGUGACCUUAGCACAACUAACAACCUUCAAAAUGAGAAUAAGGGCACAGAGUCUUAAAAGCCUCUUCCUGUCUACUGUGUUUCCCCAGACAGACUGAGGCCACAUCAAUGCAAAAGCACAAAGUGAACAAGAUGACCUAGCAGAUGCUACCAGCAUGUACUGUACUUUUCCUAAGAUAAAUAAAGCCUGUCAUCUUCAGUAUCAGCAAGCUCCACAUAUUCUUUAGAGUGUAAUAAAAUAUAGUAUUAUAGAGUUCCAAAUUGCUUUGUAAGUCCGUAUUCUCCUCAGUGUUACUAGUUCUCCUUAUUCUGUUUAACAUACCUAAAUAUUAAUUACAUGAGUAUGGCAAAAAAUAUCCAUUUAUCCAGCUCAUUUUCAUUGUCUUAAAUGGGAGCUUGGAGUAAAAGAACAGCAUAUAAAGUAAACUCUGAACUAUUGCAAUUUAGGACUGUUGCUUUCAGCAGCACACUUAUUUAUUUAUUUAUUUUACUAUCAGUAUACUGCUGGCUCCAGCACCUUGUUUCUGGGAGUGACAAGCUGUCCUAAGUCAAAUAAAUGCUAAUAAUGAGUGGCUAUAGAAAAAUAGUUUCAAACAGGAAGUUCUUUCCAUAGCAAAGACUCAGCUCUGCAGCAUGUCCUGCACAGCCUGAGCUAUCCCAUAAUACUUGGACCAUCAUUAAGCCACAGACUGUUACAAGGGACUGUAGGCCAAAAGAGCUCAUUGCUUUGUAUGACUGCUCUUAUAUCAAUUUUCUUUCCUGUCUAACAUAAUUGUGUUAUUAUUCUUAUAUAUUUCUAAUCCUGUUUGAAUCCUGUUCUGCUCUUGAUCAUUCCUGAUCUCACCUGGAAAAUGGGUAAUUGUCACUGUUUGUCUUACUAGCAAGAUAUUUAUCUAGGCUUUUCCAAUUAUCUGCUGAUAUUUCCCUUAUGUAAUGGGAAACAUGAAGUCAUAUGAUACCAAGGUUUGAGUAAAUCUAGCUCAUGUUAAAAUUGUCUCCAAUGUUACCAGUGACAAAGUCAAGAUGUGUAGAAAUCAUGGUAUACAGUAUUCUGCUUAGAGUUUAAAAUAGUGAUUUUGAGGAAGACUUCUACAUCCCAGGUUCUGGGUCAAGAAAUAGAGCUAUGUAUAUGCCAUUUGAAACACAAACUUCCACAGUGCAUGACAGUUCUUCCAUCCAGAAGCAAAACACUACCUCAGCUGUUCUGCUGUAUCGGCUGAAAAUCAGUAAGGAACUGCUGAUCUGUAGAAGUAGACGUCUGAGCAGUAAAGAAGAGUAUAACAUGGAAGAUGGAUUCAUUUUCAGUUUUGUCAUGUUUCUCUUCCAUACUGACAUAAUCAGAAAUGCAUUACUUCAGCAGAACGCUUAAAAAUUCAUACGCAUGACAUAAUGCUUCACUGAACUUUAAGAUAUCAGUUUGGAAAAAGAAAGAUGGAAAAUCUGGACUUCGUAUUUUAAACAGUUUCCUUACAAUAAGCUUUUCUGGUCUGUUGAGCCUUGUCCCAAGUGGAAUUGGUGAGAUACAUCCUCAAGAGGACAGUAAGAUUGCUGAAAACACUUGGAAAUAUCUCUUGGCUGCGUCUUAUUUAUAGAAGUCAACUGAGAGACACAUGGUGUUCUGUCAUAUUGCUCUUCCAAGAGCCUCAUGUUUAUUAUUCUCAGUUGACAAAAGUGUCCUUGCUCGAAGAUGUUCAAGCUAAUCUCUGGCAGUUUAGCCCAAGAAUACGAGGUCACUUUCAAACUGCUUUUUAAAUAUCUCUGCUUUUAAGACAUCAUCCUCGUCAAACACUGGCAUGUAAUGUGUCUUCUUUUCUGCAGGUGUGUAAUGUGCAAAACAAUUUAAUGCAGCAUAUAGCAUCUAUGACACCUAUUCCCUGCCAGCACUUUAACAAGACUCCAUUUUCUGUAUCCAGCUGCAGGACUUUCCCAGGGCUCUGUUGCUUUAAGAUGCAGAGGUUUGGUUCAGACCUUCACAAGAAGCUGUCAGCAGAGUUUGCAAUGUCCUGCAAACCUUGAAUUGUAUGUAGGAUUUUGUAUUGGCUCAGUAUUGUUUACAGUGUUUCACUGUUUGUGAUUAGGUUUGCAGGAAGGCUGACUACAGAGUUCUGAUCUGGAUUUCUCCAAAGUGUUUGGUUCUGUUCUGGGCUGCAGCAUACUGUGGUCAGCAUUCGUUCAUAUCAACAUCUGUAAAACAUUUGGCAUUACUUGAAAAUAUUAGUCACAAUUGUAAAACUAAUAAAAAUCCUUCUUUCUCAUUUUAACUAUAAGGUGGUCAUAUAUGCUGGGCACUCAUCAUUGAUUUAGAAGUUAUCUCUCUGCUAGUAAUAUUUUUGCUGUGCUUGCUCCAAAGCCUGGAUUUUUGAUCUGGGAGCAAUUCUCAGCUGAGAAAAUUCUUUCAACUGAAUCUGCACGCCAGAACUUUUAGGACUUGCUAUUGAUUUACAUCCAGCUGCUCUGUACCAAUUUGUACCAAUUCUCAAACCUCUCUGACAAACUCCACGGUAGAUUUUCAGUGUGUCCUAAUAAGCAGCACUUUCUUUUGCAAAGGGAGGCUUCUCAGUUAUCACUCAGACUAUAGGAAAGAUGAGGACUUUGUAUAGUUAUUUUAAACACUGUAAAUGAAUGGUAUUAGCAAAGCAUUGUGAAAUAAGGGCGAAUUAGUUACCUCUGAAAUGCAGUGUUAUUGUAGCAAAUUAACUAAAUCCGGAGGCACUUUCCCCUGUAGUUACAUGCCUGCAGUUGUGUCUAAAUGCAAUUUGGGAUGAAUAAAGUCCUGAGUGCCAUGUGGUGGCAUAAGCACUUCAACCCAUGAAUUUGCAUUUAAAAUGAAUUUCAAGUGGCAUUUUACUGAUAUUACAUAAGGCAUUUAUCAAGUAUACACCAAAUAUUCACUGUUUAUUGGGCUUUCUGAUUCAAAAAAUCUUCAAUAAUUACGCAUAUACUUUACUGUAGUCUAAAUAAGGACUGACCACUUCUUAUCCACUGUGGCCUGAAACAGAGUUGGAUAUUAUGAUUUGGGGACGCUGAAGAAACUCAGUUAUACAGCCAUGGCCUGAGGGUGUAUACCUCCAUAAAUGAAAUUUGCUAUCAAAUUAUGAGAACAUCCCUCAUUUGUGCACUGCUCAUGCUUCAGACUAUAAUAUAUAACACAGUUUAUACAUGACAGCAUGCUUUUGCAUAGACUUGCUCAACUGUCUCAAAUGUCUCAACUGUCAGGUUACAGAAUGUGACUCAAUUCUAGUUUUUCCUGGGUAAUGCCAGUAGUUCUCUUUAUGUAUGUGUAAUAUUAGAAAAAUUGAUUCACAUUUGCCUGUUUCAACUCCAGCAGAAGUCAGGCAGCAGGAACUGCACCCCUGGUUACUAGGAAGUAGAAAUGAGCUGGUGCCAAGUGUCCUUGAAAAUUUGCCCUGUAUGCCCAUUGGUGAUGGUGUGUGUCUGUGCUGAGUGCUUCAGUGACCGACCGUUUUUCCCAAGUAUGGCUAUGAUGUCUUUGUUUAUAGAAUACUUUUCUAAACCAGGUCCAGCAUCAUGCCUACAAAAUUAGUAAUCACAUUUUUGGCAAGUAUUAGGUCAUACUAUCUGUAGAUUGUUCAUAGCUGGUUUAGGCCUAAAUAAAAUUUGCUCUUUGUUCUGAGAUUAGUUUUCAUUUCUACUUGGGCAGAGCUUCAGCUUACUCAUUUAUCUGCCAGAUGUCACUUCAUUGAGUCUAUCCUCCCACCCAAAAGAGGAAGCUCCUUCAAAGCUACAUUUGAUGGACUUGGAAAAUAACAUCUAAGACUUCCUUAUAUAAUGGCCAUAAAGGAUACUUCCAAGAUAGCAGGCAUUAGUAUGAUGAUAUUAGUAUCAACCUCAGCUCUUUUGUUAUUCUUGUGUUUUGAAGAGCCUCAGGAAGGACUGUAGGUGCACCUUUUCCACUGGUGUCUUUUGCUGAAAGGUAGCAGGUGCCCUGUCGGUCUAUAGUGAGGUUUGUCUGGGGCUCUUCAUUCCAUCUGCUCCGCUGUUCUGCUAUGCAUUACCAUUCCUCAAUAGAUGUGUACAAGCAGCACCCUGGGCUAGAUGUCACUCACUCACUUUCUGAACACAGAGGGGAAAAGGGGCAAAUGAGGAGAGCACAAUGAGUGGGAAUCAUUUCUCUGCCUUCCUGCUCUUGUCAGGCACACAUUAAUUAUGACAGUGGCUUGAACAUCAAAGAAUGUAGACAUGAGAAGUAAAGAUGUGAGCCGACAGAAAAAGAGAAAGAGGAAAGAAUAGGUGUGGUGUUACAAGAGGAGGUGUGUGUAGAUCUAAGGGCUUAACUUCCAUGAGGUAAUUAUAGAAGCAUAAACAAUAAAUCAGGCUUUAUCUGGCAAAUCUUUGACCAUACAAAAAAAGGAAGAUACAUCAGUGGGAUUAUAGGAUCUAGCUCUGUAAAGCAUAGGGUAUAGCUAUCCAGUUUUGGGCCCUCGGAUUCUCUUUGAGCAGCUUGAUAUCAAGGCAUGAAACAAAACUAUUACUGAAAACAUGCGGUGGGUUUCUUGUAUCUUCAACUGAAGGAGAAAGCUGUUACUGAUUACUGGCUACACUGGUUGUAUUUCAGGGCUGGACUCAUAUGGUGGAUUUCUUUUCAGCUCUUAAGUCAGUUAGCUGUGUGAUAACCUCCUUCUUCCCCACCAGGGAAGACCCCCAAGAGUCCAUCUGUCACAGGUGACAGAUCUGUGCAGUGGGAAGAACUAAGCUGGAAAUGCACAGAAUAAAAAUUGAGAGGAGGAGUGGAGAAAGAUGACAUCCCGGACUCUUCCAUUUUCUUUUCUCCCCAUUACUGCUAUGAUUCUUCACUUGCAUGACAGGGGUGAGUCUAAACUAGUGCACAGAUUGCUCUUCCACUUCAUAGCCAGGCAGCUGCUUCCUGCCCUGAUAACUAAUUUCAUUUAUUUCCUUUACAGAAGACAGCCUGCCCUGGGUGGCAAUUACAGUUGGUUAAUUUUGGCACAAUGUGAUUAAAAGCAGAUUGAUAUAAAUCACUGAACAGUGUAGCUUAUGAAAAUGUGAGUUAAAGUAGCACCCCAACCACAGUGCUGUCAUGAGAGAAGCUGAAAGCCAGAUGUUGGUCUAAUCAUGAUAGAAAUAAUCUAGUAGCAGACUUUAUCCUCUGGAGCUUGAAAGCCUUACCUAAUGGUUUUUGUCAGCCAGAUACCCCCGUAUUGCAAUACACAUUGAAUGUUUUAGAGGAUCAGAAGCUGGUUUGUUUUCUUGGCUUAUAGUUAGAUAUUCUGGGAGUAGGUUUGUGCACAUGAUCUGUGGGAGCUCCAGGUGAAGAGCACCUAGUAGUGAAUAAGAGACAGAGGAUCUAAGGUGUCCAAGUGUCUUAGACACUCAAAAUCUUACCUUCUUUUAAAGUAACCUGUGUGAGGUUGUGUCAUAUAGAAUAAUGAACAAAUAAUGAGUGCUUCUGGAAUCACCAGAAGUGGAUAUAUGUGUGUACACUGAGUGUAAUUAAAACUGCAAACAGAUCCUUCCUGCAUCUCAAUGCAUUUAUCAGAGAAAAGAAACCAAAUUAAUAGAAAAUAGGGCCUGUAAGUUAAAGUCUUUAUUUUUGCACCAGCAGAGAUGUGAUAGGAUGAGUUCACCUUAAGUUAAAUGUGAGUGCCCUGAUUACAAGGCAAGCUCUGUAUGGCUUAAAAUGUGAGGCUGUCCUGGCUACUGUGCACCCACAGGUGAUCUCUGCAGGCUGAGGAAUAAAUGCAGUGGCUCCUGAGCCAGCAUCCUGCCCAUCACUUUCACCUGGUAUGCUGUUAUCUCCUCUGAGAUGCCCUGCAUGAUAGUGGGGUGACACAAGGUGCAGUUAGGGAGAGAUGAAGCUGUGGUCCACAAUGACACAGUGCAUAUGUACUAACAGACAACGUAUGUUACUGCUAUCAGUUUUGAUACCAAUUAUUCACCAGGUUCUGCAAUAAUUAAAUGAUAGAAAAGCUGUUAAUUUUUCUGCUGAUUAAGCUGAACAAGAAUACCCUUUAAAGACCAUCAUCUGCUUUCUAAAAUAGAAUUCUUCAGAUAGAAGGGACCUAGAAAGGUCAACAAGUCCAGUUACCAUGGAUGGCAUAAAAACAUUUGGUUCAGGGAGAAUUUAUGCCCCCCCAGAAAUGUCUUUUUUUCUAAGUACAAACCCUCCACUUCUUUCAGGAUAUUUUAUACCUGGUAUGCAUAGUCUACAUUUCGUAAUACUUUUAACAAAAGAAAAAUGUAAGAAGAGGGAACUGCUUCUUUGUUUUGUUGAGACUUGUGCCAGAACAGUCUCUAAGGAACUGACAGUCUCUUGAUCAGAGAGAAAUAAAUUAUGGGGACACUAUUUUAUGUCUUUAUUUGUUUCUGUGCAAAUGCAUCUGGAGAUGGUGGUGCAAAUGCGAAAAAAUAACAUUUGUGGAGGCAUGGAAAUGAGGAGGGAGGAAAAAAGAGAGAAAUAGAAGGAGAGAAAAAGCUACUGAGAGCACAGCUAUUUGGCCAGAUACCUGCAUUGGACAGUGACUAAAGUCUCUGUGCAAGACAGUCUUUGUAUUCUAUGAUAUGAAUUUUCUCCAACAGGAGAGCAGAAUUUUCCUCAGUUCUCUUUUUCUUUUCCUACCAAAAAGGAUGUUUUGGAGAAUCUUUGCUGACUUUGUCACAUUCCAAAUACUGCAGUAAGGAUGGCAAAGUUUGUGGGAAGGAGGAAUAUUGGAAGGAGGAAUUAAGGCAACUUGUUUGGGUUUUUUGUUGUUUUUUUGGCCUAAAAUAAAGUUUCAUUUUUCAAAAUACAGAUUCAUUGGUGUUUGGGUUUUUUUUUUCAUUUUAAGAAAAACUUCAAAAUUAGGACAGAAAAAUGAUAUUUUUCUCAUUCCCAGUCAACAAAAAGAAUACCCCAGACUUUUGUUUUAACCAUCUAUGCUUUUUUUUAACCAUGGAUGUGUAUAAUCAAGGAAUUACACUGAGAUCUGCUCCCAUUCUAUGGAAGUAUCAGAGCAAAACCUCAGUGGUUCUUCAGAGUAACCUUCUCUUGCACUGGGCUUCACAUCAUAUACUAUUAAAUUGAGCACACACUUUCAGAGUCAAGGCUUUACAAGGUCUGGACUGUUUCUUUCUUUGACAAAUAAGUAUAUGGUGCCAAAAUUUGCCAGAUCCUGCCCAUACAAAGCAGAGGCUUAGAAUUAACAUUGUAUGUGUUUAAUGGCAGAGAAAAAACUUACUUGGUCUUCUGGUGGAAGGGAAUCUUAUGCACAACAGUGUCUCUGGAUUGUAUUUGUUGCUUUCACAGACAUAAUGUCUUUUCCAUGUGUUUGCUGCUGCUGAAAUUGCCAUUAAAAGAACUAAAUUGAUGGUAUCAAAUUCUUGUACUUUUGUGGUAACCUUGUUCAAACAAAGCAAGAAACUUCACACUUCUUCAGAAGCUGUACCCUUGAUGCUAAGAGAUACAGAAAAAUGGAGAAAGGUGAUGAGCUACUCUCAAAUUGAGAGUAUCUAUGCCAGUAACUUAAUGCACAACACUGUUUUGUUUGCCCUUUCUCCCCUGUAAUCAGAGAAGACUGCAGAUUCCUAGAAGUUCAGCAGCAUGGCUUGUUGCUGGUAUGGCACAGUGGUGGCACUAUGCGAGAUUUCCAACAGUGCCAACCAUGUGUUAUAUGUCUGUUCAGCACAAGCACUGGUGAGAUAGUAAAAUGCUUGCUUGAGUCAAGAUAAUGACAGUUGCUUCUGCCCCUUAAAACUUUGCUGGUGCUAAGAGAAUGUUGCUCUAAUCAUCUGAACGUUGCUGCUUUGAAAAAGUAUGAAUAUGAAAUCCCACAUAUGUGAUAAUGAUUUUGAGAAAGCAGUGAUCACUGCAACAAAAGCGUUUGCAUCUGUUAAAAGCACAGCUUGCUCUUUCACUUGUGUCAAAGCUGCUGGCACAGAAUUCAAAGUACUGGGUUGGCAACUCUAUCAGGAAGCAAGUGCAGCACAAAGCCAUAAUAGCUGACUUGGUUUGCUUUUGUUAUCUAAAAAAUUCCAAGUGCUUUGGAUAACAUAAGGUGCCACAUAACUAUGGAAGCUGUUGGGCAGCAGCUUGACAGCCAUAUGCCUAUAUCUAUAAUGUAUGCACAGCCUCAUCUUUAACUACGUGUUUUCCUUUAGCAGCUGUGGCAACAGUGGUGGGUUCAAACAAUUCCCACACUGAAAAUACAGCUGGAAGCAAUGGCUCCUCUGCUGAAGGCACAGAAGGCACAAGCACUCUGGUCGCUUAAAGACUUUCAGAGGGACUAAAGCAACUUCAGCACAUACUGUCUGAUCUAUGCCAACUGUGUUACAAAGAUUCCCAUCCUAACAUUAACCAGCUCAUUGUGAAGUCGUACACAGUGCAGAAAGGCAGGGAUAUAGGGAUAUUGGAGGUCAGUUCAGCACUGUGGUGAAGCAGCGCUCCUGCUCCUGGUGCUGGUGUUAAUGCAUGUGGGUCACCAGGGCUAUCUCUGCACUGCUGCCAGGGUUAAGCCAGUUCAUGGUUCCCUGCACCUGUGGAGUAAACCUUUUUUUUUUUUUUUUCCUGAAAACUCCUUUUUUGUCUUCUGAGUCACUGAGCAUAGAAGAACUGGGGCAGUAUGGGAGCAGCUGCAAAUGGAACCCAAGCUUAGCUCAGAGAAGGAUGCUUGAGUAUCUUGGAGUCUGGAGCUGCGAGAAACGGCGAGGUUGUUAUCCGUAAUGGUGUUGCCUUUCGUCAUCAAUACUGGCUGCUAGCAUAGAAGAGUACUAAUCCAGCAAAGGGUAUAAAAGUCACUGCUAUAUACAUAGUCCACAGGGACUAUUCAGCAACAGAGGCUGUGCAGGACAGCCUCUGAAAUAUUUCAUAAUACAUUUGGAAUGUACGUUUUCACUUUUAAAAUCUGUCCUUUUUCAAAUAAAAUAGAGUGGCAUCUGCCCAGAUGAUAGUUCUUAUUGUGGCAGCACUAGUAUUGCUUCAUUGUUCAUCUCAUUCUAGCUGUGGCAAUUGUUACUUCCUUUCUCUACUAUCCUCUCCACCUUCUCCUUCCUUUUCUUCUUCUCCUUCUCCUCUCCCUUCCUCUCCCCUCUCCUCCCUCUCCCUCUCCCUCUCCCUGCUCCUCUCCCUCUCCCUCUGUUGCUCAAGAAGCUCACAGCUUGGUCCUGCAAUCCAUUUUAGAGCUACCAACCUUGAGGAUAGGAAAGCACAUCUCUGUAGCCCGGAACAAAGUAUCGAACUCCUGCAGGAUGCUGGUUUAGACUUGCCUCUGGAGGUGCUACCACAGACAUUGUUUAAUCUCCCCAGAAGGAGCAGAGGAUCCCUUUACUACCAGAGGGCUGGUUCUCCUGAGUCUUUUCUGAGGUGCCAGUUUGCCUGUGAGAUUUCUAUAUGAAUGUUACAGAAACUACUUCAGUUCCACUUAAGUGCUUACAUCACAGAUAUGAUUGUUUCUAACACUGCACAAGAAGAGAUCUGACACAAAAAUAAAAGACCUUAAAAGGUGUAUUUUUAUAAACUGGUUUGCAGAAAUAAAAGGACACCCUGUAAAUUCAUCUAAAAGGCAUCAUAGCAGUAAUGCAACUUCACUGUUUUCCAACUACUUUGAGAUUGAAUCAGGCUUUUGGCAAUUUAAUAACUUGAGCAAACAACUCUAAACUAGUCCUAGCUUUCUCUCCCACACACACUUCUUUAAAUAAAGUUUAACUUGUAAUAUGGAAUGUGAAUUGUUUGGACUGUUAAAUCAUUCCAACUCAAAACCCACUCAUCAUAAAUGUGUUGAAAGAAGAAUAUAUUUCUGUACUGCGGCAGACUUUGAGUACAGUAGAGCAGGAGUCUUCAAUCAACUAGACUUUCUUUCCAGAAACAGAAAAUGAAAGCAUAAGUGCCAUAUACAUUUUUAAAUGAUUUAUCUAAAUUCAAAGAACUAACUUUUUUGUGACUGAUUAUAACUGUGUAUAUGAAUGGUUAUGGAUAACAGGUUUCUUUUGCUUUUCAAAAUGAUAUAUAACAAAGUUCCAUGCAAAGACCUUCUAUUUACACAUCUGUUCAGCACCUGCCCAUAAUUACUUAGUUAGUUUUUAUUAUUAGGCUUGUCACCAUAUUAAUGUAGCAGUACACUCAAAUUGAUUGUAAUUGCAAAUUUCCUGAAAAAUCUUGGUUUCUGCAAGUAUUUAAUUAAACUGAUAUCCUAAAUUAAAAAUAA